rnacentral:rRNA from 1 species
CGGGAAACUGCCGGUAAUACCAGUAUGAUAUCUCCGGAUCAAAGGUGUGAUUCCGCCCUAGGAGAAGCCUGCGGUCUAUCAGCUAGUUGGUAAGGUAACGGCUUACCAAGGCAAAAAACGGAUAUGGGGCGUGAGAGCGUGCCCCCACUCACUGGGACUGAGACACUGCCCAGACACCUACGGGUGGCUGCAGUCGAGAAUCUUCGGCAAUGGGCGCAAGCCUGACCGAGCGACGCCGCGUGCGGAUGAAGGCCUUCGGGUUGUAAACCGCUGUCGAAGGGAGGAAAUUGUAGUGGGUUCUACCCAUUAUAUUGACCGAUCCUUGGAGGAAGGGCCGGCUAAUCUCGUG